UACGGGGGGGGCAAGCGUUGUUCGGAAUUACUGGGCGGAAAGGGCUCGUAGGUGGCCAACUAAGUCAGACGUGAAAUCCCUCGGCUUAACCGGGGAACUGCGUCUGAUACUGGAUGGCUUGAGAUUGGGAGAGGGACGCGGAAUUCCAGGUGUAGCGGUGAAAUGCGUAGAUAUCUGGAGGAACACCGGUGGCGAAGGCGGCGUCCUGGACCAACACUGACACUGAUGAGCGAAAGCCAGGGGAGCAAACGGG
rnacentral:rRNA from 1 species